CUACGGAGGGUGCAAGCGUUAUUCGGAAUCACUGGGCGUAAAGGGUGCGUAGGCGGUUUGAUAAGUCUGAUGUGAAAUCCUAUGGCUCAACCAUAGAACUGCAUUGGAAACUGUCAGACUAGAAUACUGAAGGGGCAGAUGGAAUUAGUGGUGUAGGGGUAAAAUCCGUAGAUAUCACUAGGAAUACCGAAAGCGAAAGCGAUCUGCUGGGAAGUUAUUGACGCUGAGGCACGAAAGCGUGGGGAGCAAACGGGAUUAGAAACCCCAGUAGUCC
rnacentral:rRNA from 1 species